rnacentral:lncRNA from 1 species
UGAGGAUGAAGCAGCUUCAUGGCCGGAGAUCGGGCGCCUCCCAUCAGUUUCCCUUUUCAGCAAUAGAGGCCUUGGAGGCCUUUCUACCUGCGUUGCAUCCUGUGGCUGGACCACUCCAACGAUCUCGGCAGAAUCGUUACACAGGAAGAAGUCUGGCUGGCCCCAAGCCUGGUGCAAAAUGAAGAAAUGGCACUCCACAUCAAUUCAUGUUUACUUGUCGUCAUAACCAGUCUGUUAGCUUAAUUUUUGGUUCUUCCUAUUGAAUUCUCAAGAAAGGUACCAACUCUGUCAUUCAUUGAAAACAAAUUUUUGCACUUGGGGAUGCAGCCAUGCACAAAGCCUU